AAGGACCUCUAGAUAUAGCAUCCUAUUUUAACAAACUCAAAGGGUUAUGGGAUGAGUUAGGAGCAGUAUGCACAAAUCAUGGCCAAAGAUGUAUUUGUGCUGCCAAACCUGGUAUCAUAAAGGAGGAUGAGGAGACUAAGGUGUUUCAAUUCCUCAUGGGCCUUAAUGAGACAUAUAUGGGGGUGAGUAGCAACUUGCUGAUGAUGCAGCCUCCUCGUAGUCUUGACAGUGUCUAUAACAUUCUCCUCAAUGAUGAAAAACAAAGACAAGUUCAGUCUAUUUCCCGGUUCAAUCCUGACUCUAUGUCCUUCAGUGUCAACACACACAAAACUUCUACACCUUCUUUCUGUAAAUUUGCAUUGCCCAACUCUUCUCCUCUCAGACAGUAUGCCAGAGAGUUACUUUUGAUCAAUCCAAAGGACCUCUCUUCUGUAGAUUAUUUAAGAAGUCUGGGAACUUAAUUGAUAAGUGUUACAAACUUCAUGGAUUUCCUCAAAGCAUCAGGUUAAACAAAGGGAAGAGAACUACUGCUGCCCAUGUAACCAUUGGUGUUGAUUUCACCUCCUUCCCUUCUUCUGAUGGACACAAUUCUUAUGCUUCAGGAAAUCACAUUGAGGGUCAUUCAUCUGUCCAACAUGUGGAUGGACAUGGUUCUGUAAUCCCUGGAUUGAGCAGGCAACAUUAUGAUCAAUUGAUGAAUCUGCUGCAACAUUCCAAAUUGGGUGACUCCACUGCUCAGACUUCUCCUGCUCAGACCUCUCCUCCUAUGUGUGCUGCCAACUUUGCUGGUACUUAAAUUGGGCGACUCCACUGCUCAGAAUUCUCCUGCUCAUACCUCUCCUCCUAUGUGUGCUGCCAACUUUGCUGGUACUAUG
rnacentral:lncRNA from 1 species